rnacentral:sRNA from 1 species
AAUCAUCGAUAUGUUAUAUAUCACAUAUUUAACCAUAUACUGUGUCUGGCAUAUAGAGAAAAGGGGUGGGGUAUAUAUAUAUAUAUAUAUUGCAUAUAUAUAUAUUUUUAUAUAUGUAUAUGUAUUAUAUACCUCACACCUCCUCUGUUUGCCAGAAUAUCUUUUCAACUUAUACACCCAAAAUAAAUACCAAAUAAUAUAAAGUUGCUUGGGAAUUAUAUCCCACAGCAAAAAUAACCAAGACAACUCUCAACAACGGAUAUCUUGGCUCUCAGAUCGAUGAAGAACGCAGCGAAAUGCGAUACGUAGUGUGAAUUGCAGAAAUGUGAAUCAUCGAAUCUUUGAACGCAAAUUGCGCUCGAGGCUUCGGCCAAGAGCAUGUCUGCCUCAGCAUCGAUGCACCCCCAUUCCUCUCUUAUAUAAUAUAUAUAACAGAGAGGAGAUCUGGCUGUCUCUAGAUCGAUCCAAAUCUUGAAGAGGAUUUCUUUCUCUCUCUGAGAGAUAGAUGUGUCCGCUUCUUUUGAUGGAUGUGUGAAGAGUCGGCUGAAAUGAAGCUGCUAAACCAUGUGGACACCACCAAAUGUGCGCCCGUACUGGGUAGGCAACAUUCGUUUGCUGCAAAUACUUUAGUACAAGUGGCGUGCGUGUUUUGCGUGAUGUUGUAUAUGCAGUAAGUGUUUGGCACUCAACACAGGAAUAUAUAUAUAAUAAUACAACGACCUGAGCUCAGGCAAGA